UUCAUGCCAUCAUGCCUCAAUUUCAUUACCCCAUAGUAUGGGGCAAGAUGGUUUUUCAUGUUAAUUAUUAAAAAGUGUGAUAUGCUGUUUCUCCAAAGACUGUACCAAAUCAUAGUUAGAUAAAUGACAUAACGUGCUAUAAAGUAAUAAUUACGAACCCAAAAACCACUCAUAAAGACCUGAUUAUAGAAAAUACUUUGAAAUUUGAAUCUACUAAUUAAUAAAUUUCCAAACAAAAAUUAAAUUCACUAAUAAUAAACUGAACACUGGUGGGAGUAAUUAUUACACUAAUUAAGACGACAAAUGAAAGGAAAUCACUUAAGAAGAAACCAAAACAAAAUAAGAUAAAAAAUGAUACACACAAAGAAUGAAUUGGGAUUAUUUGCCAAACGAAGUCAAAAAGUGUAAUGAAAAAAAAAUUUUUAAAAAAUCGAAAUGAAAAAAGCAGACUAUGAGGACAAUUCAAAAUAUUACCAUAAAUUGAGAUACAAGAGGAUUCAGUAUCCUCACAUACCUGAUAAAAAGCCAAUCAAAAAUAAAAGAAUAAUUAAAAAAAAUAUACUGACCAACUCAUAACCCUCGCAUCAUCUGCAG